rnacentral:lncRNA from 1 species
CGGAAGAACAACUUUAAAGUUCUUGCCGGGGCGCCUGGGUGGCUCAGUCGGUUAAGCAUCUCACUUCAGCUCAGGUCACGAUCUCGCGGUCCGUGAGUUCGAGCCCUGAAUCGGGCUCCGUGCUGACAGCUCAGAGCCUGGAGCCUGCUUCCGAUUCUGUGUCUCCCUCUCUCUCUGCCCCUCCCCCGUUCAUCCUCUGUCUCUUUCUGUCUCAAAAAUAAAUAAACGUUAAAUAAAAUAAAAUAAAAUAAAAUAAAAUAAAAUAAAAUAAAGUUCUCGAUACUAUUGCCGUGUUGUUUCCUGGUAAUUAUUUUUUAUUUGCAUCCCCCUCAGUAGUACAACAUAAUAAUAUUAAUUGUCACCAUUCCUUGUGGAUUUCGUUUCUGCGCCAGGCACAGUUCUAAGAACUUGACGUACAUUAGCUCAUUUCAUCCUCCCCAGACCCUUCUUUUAUUGCUGAGGAAACCAAAGCACAUGGUGGGUAACUAAAUUGACCAAAACCAUGCCACAGACACUAGGCGAAUCCUGGAUCUGAAUCCAUUCACCUACCCUGCUCCCCUAAAAUACUUUGCUGUGGCUUCAAUAACUUGGAAUACAAUUGGAAUUUUUGAGUUAAGCAAGGUUCAAAGAAAACCUGUUUCUGCUGGCAUGACCUAAGUGCAGUCUUACCCAGAAGCAGAAGGCCCAGUUGAGGUUGUUCAGUCCUUUUAGCAAGACGAAGUCUUACCAAAAACUCAGGGUAUUUGGUGCGGGUAACUGAAAUAUUUCUUAUAACUUUACAUAUGGGAGGGGAUAAAGCAUCGUUAUUAAAAACAACAGAAGUAUUUCUCCAAAACAAGUUUCUCUCUUUCUCAGGAAAACCUAUCUGUGGUCUGAGGUGGCUGCUGUUGGCCUGAGACAGACUCCAUAUGCCCAGGUUUUAGACUUCAGGAGCGCAGGUUGGAAAAAGAAACAUAAGCAGUGUCUGCUAUUGCUGUUCAUUGCUGUGAUCCCUCAGGGUUCUGGAAUUGUCUGCUUCCUGAAGAGCCUGCCGCUCACUGGCUCAAGCUGUCCCGAUGCCCAAGGGGAUGUCCCAGGUUUGCAGAUGUGCUGUUAGCAUCUUCCCUGGAAAUCACAGAACUUCAGGUAAGCAUUGACAUUUGUAUUAUCUCAGUUUCCAAGUAUCGUUUUGAUUUGGAGGGUUCCUUUUGCAGAGAAAGGCUCCCAAAGCUGGCAUUUCCCAGUAGCAACAGAAAGGCUUUUAAGUAAUUUAUGAAAAGACAGUGAAAAUUGCAGCCACUUCAAUUGUGGUGUAUAUGGCGGUGGGGUUGCGGUUGUGUGGUGGGGGUGUGGGGAGUGAACGAAAGGCAAGGUGGAAGAAGGGA